rnacentral:misc_RNA from 1 species
AACGCACCUUGCGCUCUAUGGCAAUCCGUAGAGCAUGCCUGUUUGAGUGCCGUGAAAUCUCCCACCCCAAGCGGUUUUUAAAUGAAACGGCUUGGCGGAUGGGGUCUGGAUGGGUGCCUCUGCCUGCGCUACCUAGCACAGGCUCGCCCGAAAUGCAUGAGCGCCUUGAGCCCCUUUGCAUCCGCCUCUCUGUUUGGGGGGAGGGGGCCAAGCAGGGUUUUUCUCCUGGCAUGGCAUGGUACGUCAUUUGCUAUGUCGGCUAAAGGAGGGAUGUUUGGUUGUGUCUGCGUGUGCUUCAAACUUGCCUCUGUGGCACAUCCCAAUUUCACUUCUGGUCUCAAAGCAGGUAGGAUCACCCGUUGAGCUUAA